rnacentral:rRNA from 1 species
AGAGUUUGAUCCUGGCUCAGAUUGAACGCUGGCGGAAUGCUUUACACAUGCAAGUCGAACGAUGAACCUUAGCUUGCUAAGGGGAUUAGUGGCGAACGGGUGAGUAAUAUAUCGGAACGUGCCUUGUAAUGGGGGAUAACUAGUCGAAAGAUUAGCUAAUACCGCAUACGCCCUGAGGGGGAAAGUAGGGGAUCUUCGGACCUUACGUUAUAAGAGCGGCCGAUAUCUGAUUAGCUAGUUGGUGGGGUAAUGGCCUACCAAGGCGACGAUCAGUAGCUGGUCUGAGAGGACGACCAGCCACACUGGAACUGAGACACGGUCCAGACUCCUACGGGAGGCAGCAGUGGGGAAUUUUGGACAAUGGGCGCAAGCCUGAUCCAGCCAUUCCGCGUGAGUGAAGAAGGCCUUCGGGUUGUAAAGCUCUUUCACAAGGGAAGAAAACUUACUUUCUAAUAAAGAGUGAGGCUGACGGUACCUUGAUAAGAAGCACCGGCUAACUACGUGCCAGCAGCCGCGGUAAUACGUAGGGUGCGAGCGUUAAUCGGAAUUACUGGGCGUAAAGCGUGCGCAGGCGGUUUGGCAAGUCAGAUGUGAAAUCCCCGAGCUCAACUUGGGAACUGCGUUUGAAACUGCCAGACUAGAAUAUGUCAGAGGGGGGUAGAAUUCCACGUGUAGCAGUGAAAUGCGUAGAGAUGUGGAGGAAUACCAAUGGCGAAGGCAGCCCCCUGGGAUAAUAUUGACGCUCAUGCACGAAAGCGUGGGGAGCAAACAGGAUUAGAUACCCUGGUAGUCCACGCCCUAAAC